CCUGAAAAUAAACUGAUCUUCUCAGAGUGCCAGCCUCGCUGCAGUAUAAUCUGCCUCAUUUCUCAAUUUCCUGUCCAGUCGAUUAGAAUAAUCGAAAUACAUAUUAAGUCUCCAAAAUUCACAUUCAAUGAAUUACAAUAUAAAUUGUGAAUUAUAUCAUAUUUAAAAAUAAAUAUUAAGAUUCGUGGAAUCAAAACUGUCUACAGAUUUAAUUUGUGAAGACAAUCACAUUUAUGACGGAUUUUAGCAGGUCAAGAAUCUUUCUCUCUUAAAUCGAGAUAAUUGUAGUAAACAAUUAUUGUCUACCACUAGGAUUUCCCGAUAUUUAGGGAUUCAUUAGUUCGAGAUUCUUGGUGUUUCUGCGCUGCAGUUCUGCAGUCCUGACCAUCAAAUAAAUACAAAUUAAUAAAUAAAAUCAAAUAACAAUAAAUAACAAAACAUAAUUAAAGAAAUAGAUAAAUAAGUACAUAAAUACGAAGAAAUCAAUCAACAGAGAAACCAAAUCCACAAAAUAAAUCGGUAAAUCUAUCAAUAAAGUGAAACCGAAAUUUUAUCGAACGAAUUGUUAGAAGAGAAUCAAAUAUUGAAAAAAGAACUUCAUCACUAACAAAGAGAUUCCUCUAUAAAUAAUUAGUUCAGUGGAAAAUAUACAUCACAACUGUGCUCGCAUGUCAUAUAACUUAUUGUAUUGUAUGUGAUUUGAUUGUAAAUA